GGCAGAUGCCCAGUUAACACUGCACACUCAGAAGUUUCUGGAAUUGGGUGUGGUAGUUUUGGGGUUUAAAAAAAAUCUAUAUACUUAAUCUAGUGGUCGGCUAAUCAACUGACUAGCUAACAGUGAUUUCAGCAGAGGAGGAAGAGUCUGCACGGAUUCCAGCUGAAGAUUUCUGCAAGCGAGUGGAGAACCACAAGCAUGGAGAUGGAAUUUUAAGGACUGCUGAGCUGUUAAGAAAAUCUGGAGUCUGAGAGUGCUCCUUAGCUACAGAGGCUACCUGGUAGAAAAGGUUAAAGGGAAACAGUCUAAAAGUGUUCAGUCGAAGAGAAUUUCAGCUCCAGAUAACAAAAUGAAUGGUCAAAUUAUUCAAGUAAACUCUGCCUAUACCCUACUACUCAGGUGAAAUCAAAUGGUCCAGAUUUAGGCACUACUGCUCAAUCCCAUGAUUUAAUCGUAGAAUUAUAGUCUUUAACCCUGAGAGAAAUAGGCCUAUUUAUAAAGCCAAUGGAGCAUUUACCAACACCGUCUUUUAAUGGAGGCUCUAGAAAAGGAGGUAGAAUGACUAGGAGAUGGGUCUGAGCAAGACUACAUUAAAAUAUCGCAUGAAGAUUGCCUCCUGGAAAAUUGGUGGAAUCAAAAGCAAAUCUCAGGAUAUGGAGCACAGAAAUCAUUUUAUCCCAAUCUGAUGCUUUAGCCAAAUUUCUUGAAGGAAAAGUACGAGAUCUUUUGUCUUCCAGGCUUUGAAUCUCUUUUUUUAUAAGGGGGUGUUAAGCAUAUUAAGAGGGAUAGACAUGCCCUCCGGUGUUCUGUUUCCAUUAAAACAAAUAUACCUAU